ensembl:snRNA Gm24198 predicted gene, 24198
AUGUUCACUUAGGGAGCACAUAUACUAAUAUUGGAAAGAUAUAGAGAAAAGAUUAGUGUGACCCUGCACAAAGAUGACAUGCCAUUUUUUUGAAGCAUUCCAAUAUUUU